AACAAGAGCUUGCCAGUUGUAAUCCAGAGCUGUAACUGAAUUCCCCAAAGACAACCACCGAGUUGUUGAUAACUUUAUGAAUUUCCUUGAUUUUUGUUCAAGGAUAUCUUGAACAUUCUUCAAUCGCCUGGUAUUUGCAGGGGAGCAUUCAAAAUAAGAAUGAAUUCUUCAGACUACUGAUUAUAUACCUAUAAACCAGUAGUCUGAUGUAGCACGCUAUAAGUAGUUGUACAAAACUAAAAUUAGUCGUUACUUUUUCUUUGUGCUGCUUUUUGAAUGAAGCAGUGUAGUGAGCCAGAAUUGUGGCGACAUUGUUACAGAACAUUGCUGAGUUCUUGCAGAAGUAUUUUUCCUUUGGGGAAUAAAAAGUUUUGCUUUUCUUUUCUGCCGAAAUUUUCAAGUGAUUUUAUCUUUUCUUCAGAAUUAUAUUCAAAAUAAGCCUUUCUCGCAUUUCGGAGUGGGGGAAAAAAUACUUGUGAUAUUUCUAUUCUAAUUGGAGAAUAAUGAAAGAUAAAGAAUGAUGAAGUAAAAAUUUUGAUUUUCUUUUCUUUGGAAAUGUUCAUUCCAAUUUUUCAUGCAGUUAUUACUAUUGAUUUCCACAUAGUUUUUAAAAUCCGUCCCAACAACUAAAUCUCAAAAUGAAAACACGCGUUUAGUAACCCCUUUUUGAAGAGUCUGAUUCGCAGGAUUUCGUCGUCUAUCUUUUUUAUCGGCAGUUACUGCUACGGAUUUUAUUUUUUUAAUGCGAUUAUGAAUUAUAAAGUGCGAAAAAGGAAAUAUUAGUGUGUUAUCUUUCUACAAAGGGCUAGAAUAUCGCUUAUAAUAUUAGAAUGAGAAAAAUCGCAUAUUCAAUUAAAAAAAUUAUUUUAUUUGCUCCAAUUUUCAUAUCUAUAUUUAAUUAAUUUAACUUUUUUGAAGUUACAGUUAUUUUUUUUUGAAGUCUGUACAUUUGUUAUUGUUAAAUAUCUUGUAUAUUUGUUGUUGUUAAAUAUCUAUAUGAUAUUGUUAAAUAUCAUAUUAGUAUUAAAGAGGUAUGUCUCAGAAAGCCUGAAAAAAAUUCUGCCACACCGGAUAGUACUAACGUAACUUAUGUUAUUUAAACUGUGUACCCUAAUUUGGUUCAUUUUGACCGCUGGCUAAUUUAAUCUUGAUACUUAAUUAUGCUUGGUUUCACUUGAAUGAUUUUACAAGAAUUAUCUCGCUUUUUUUUUAAAGUAUAACAAUGUGUCAGAUUUUCAUUAUCUUUAAGAAGAAGAAACAUAUCAAAAGUGCUUGAUACUAAAAUAUGAUGAAGAUGUAGGAUGCAAAACGAAAUGUUUUUUAGAAUGAUUCAACUAAAAUUCCACCACCUUUUCAUAGCCAUAAGAUUGUUUCUGAGUCUUUUCUUUCUAAAAGGUAAA